UACGGGGGGGGGCAAGCGUUGUUCGGAAUUACUGGGCGUAAAGCGUGCGCAGGCGGUUUGUUAAGACAGAUGUGAAAUCCCCGGGCUUAACCUGGGAACUGCAUUUGUGACUGGCAAGCUAGAGUAUGGCAGAGGGGGGGUAGAAUUCCACGUGUAGCAGUGAAAUGCGUAGAGAUGUGGAGGAAUACCGAUGGCGAAGGCAGCCCCCCUGGGCCAAUACUGACGCUCAUGCACGAAAGCGUGGGGAGCAAACAGG
rnacentral:rRNA from 1 species